GAUGAACGCUAGCUACAGGCUUAACACAUGCAAGUCGAGGGGUAACGAGAGGAAAGCUUGCUUUCCUUGUCGACGACCGGCGCACGGGUGAGUAACGCGUAUCCAACCUUCCCCCAACUAGGGAAUAACCUUGCGAAAGUAAGACUAAUACCCUAUAAUUUCCUCAGAUGACAUCUGACGAGGAAUAAAGAUUUAUCGGUUGUGGAUGGGGAUGCGUCUGAUUAGCUUGUUGGCGGGGUAACGGCCCACCAAGGCAACGGUCAGUAGGGGUUCUGAGAGGAAGGGCCCCCACAUUGGAACUGAGACACGGUCCAAACUCCUACGGGAGGCAGCAGUGAGGAAUAGUGGUCAAUGGGCGGAAGCCUGAACCAGCCAAGUAGCGUGCAGGAUGACGGCCCUAUGGGUUGUAAACUGCUUUUAUGCAGGAAUAAAGUUAGCCACGUGUGGUUAUUUGUAGGUACUGUAUGAAUAAGGACCGGCUAAUUCCGUGCCAGCAGCCGCCGUAA
rnacentral:rRNA from 1 species